rnacentral:rRNA from 1 species
GUGGGGAAUAUUGGACAAUGGGCGAAAGCCUGAUCCAGCCAUGCCGCGUGUGUGAAGAAGGUCUUCGGAUUGUAAAGCACUUUAAGUUGGGAGGAAGGGCAGUAAGUUAAUACCUUGCUGUUUUGACGUUACCAACAGAAUAAGCACCGGCUAACUUCGUGCCAGCAGCCGCGGUAAUACGAAGGGUGCAAGCGUUAAUCGGAAUUACUGGGCGUAAAGCGCGCGUAGGUGGUUCAGCAAGUUGGAGGUGAAAUCCCCGGGCUCAACCUGGGAACUGCCUCCAAAACUACUGAGCUAGAGUACGGUAGAGGGUAGUGGAAUUUCCUGUGUAGCGGUGAAAUGCGUAGAUAUAGGAAGGAACACCAGUGGCGAAGGCGACUACCUGGACUGAUACUGACACUGAGGUGCGAAAGCGUGGGGAGCAAACAGGAUUAGAUACCCUUGUAGUCC